ensembl:lncRNA
UCUGACCCCCAUCUCAGUGCCCCUCUGACCCUCUCAUGCCCCUCUGACCCCCAUCUCAGUGCCCUCUGACCCCCAUCUCAGUGCCCUCUGCCCAUCUCUGUGGUCAUCUUGUGAGAUGGGGCCUCACAAGAGCCGAUCAGAGGGGCACAGUCACCUCCCUCUCCCUGCUGGCCACCCCUCUUUUAAUGCAGCCCAGAACACAGCUGACUUUCCAAUUUGCAAGCGUACACUGCUGGCUCACGUCUGGCUUCUUGUCCACCAGGACCCCCAAGUACUUCUCCAACAGGGCUGCUCUCAAGGGGGUCUUUGCCCAGUCUGUAUAAUACCUGGGACUGCCCCGGCCCACGUGCAACACCUUGGCCUUGUUGAACCUCAUUAGGCUCACAUGGGUUCACCUCUCCAGCCUGCCCACGUCCCCCGGGAUGCCUUCCUCCCCCUUACUGUACCAAGCACAGCGCUCAGCUCGGGGCCAUCCCAAUUGCUGAGGGUGCACUGAAUGCCAUCGUCUGUCACUGAUGGAGAUGCUGAACCGCCCCGAUCCCACACCCGACCCCUGAGGGACCCCCUUUGUGGCCGCCUCCACCCUACACAGACCCACUGACCACAGCCCUUUGGCUGCGACCCGCCGACCAAUUCCUAAUGCACCAAACGGUCCAUCCUUCACAUCCACACUGAUUACUGAGCCCUGGGAUGGAUAUCACCCGGCCCCUAUAAUAAUGCACUUAUUGAGCCCUGGGAUGGAUAUCAUCCGGCCCCUAUAAUAAUGGACAGAUUACUGAACCCUGCGAUGGAUAUCACCCGGCACCUAUAAUAAUGGAUUGAUUAUUGAACCCUGGGAUGGAUAUCACCCGGCCCCUAUAAUAAUGCACUUAUUGAACCCUGCGAUGGAUAUCACCCGGCCCCUAUAAUAAUGCACUUAUUGAACCCCGGGAUGGAUAUCAUUUGGCCCCCUAUAAUAAUGGACUGCUUACUGAACCCUGCGAUGGAUAUCACCCGGCCCCUAUAAUAAUGCACUUAUUGAACCCUGGGAUGGAGGUCAUCCGGCCCCUAUAAUAAUGGAUUGAUUACUGAACCCUGGGAUGGAUAUCACCCGGCCCCUAUAAUAAUGCACUUAUUGAACCCUGCGAUGGAUAUCACCCGGCCCCUAUAAUAAUGGACUUAUUGAACCCUGGGGUGGAUAUCACCCGGCCCCUAUAAUAAUGGACUGCUUACUGAACCCUGGGAUGGAUAUCACCCGGCCCCUAUAAUAAUGCACUUAUUGAACCCCGGGAUGGACAUCAUUUGGCCCCCUAUAAUAAUGCACUUAUUGAACCCUGGGAUGGAGGUCAUCCGGCCCCUAUAAUAAUGGAUUGAUUACUGAACCCUGGGAUGGAUAUCACCCGGCCCCUAUAAUAAUGCACUUAUUGAGCCCUGGGAUGGAUUUCAUUUGGCCCCCUAUAAUAAUGCACUUAUUGAACCCUGGGGUGGAGGUCAUCCGGCCCCCUAUAAUAAUGGACUGCUUAUUGAACCCCGGGAUGGAUAUCAUCCGGCCCCUAUAAUAAUGCACUUAUUGAACCCUGGGAUGGAUAUCACCCGGCCCCUUAUAAUAAUGCACUUAUUGAACCCUGGGGUGGAUAUCACCCGGCCCCUAUAAUAAUGGACUGAUUACUGAACCCUGCGAUGGAUAUCAUCCGGCCCCUAUAAUAAUGCACUUAUUGAACCCCGGGAUGGACAUCAUUUGGCCCCCUAUAAUAAUGCACUUAUUGAACCCUGCGAUGGAUAUCACCCGGCCCCUAUAA